AUUGAACGCUGGCGGAAUGCUUUACACAUGCAAGUCGAGCGGCAGCGCGGGGCAACCUGGCGGCGAGCGGCGAACGGGUGAGUAAUGUAUCGGAACGUACCCAGUCGUGGGGGAUAACUAUCCGAAAGGAUAGCUAAUACCGCAUACGUCCUGAGGGAGAAAGCGGGGGAUCGCAAGACCUCGCGCGAUUGGAGCGGCCGAUAUCGGAUUAGCUAGUUGGUGAGGUAAAGGCUCACCAAGGCGACGAUCCGUAGCUGGUCUGAGAGGACGACCAGCCACACUGGAACUGAGACACGGUCCAGACUCCUACGGGAGGCAGCAGUGGGGAAUUUUGGACAAUGGGGGCAACCCUGAUCCAGCCAUUCCGCGUGAGUGAAGAAGGCCUGGUUGUAAG
rnacentral:rRNA from 1 species